AGUGAACGCUGGCGGUAGGCCUAACACAUGCAAGUCGAACGGCAGCACAGUAAGAGCUUGCUCUUACGGGAGGCGAGUGGCGGACGGGUGAGGAAUACAUCGGAAUCUACUUUUUCGUGGGGGAUAACGUAGGGAAACUUACGCUAAUACCGCAUACGACCUACGGGUGAAAGCAGGGGAUCUUCGGACCUUGCGCGAUUGAAUGGGCCGAUGUCGGAUUAGCUAGUUGGCGGGGUAAAGGCCCACCAAGGCGACGCUCCGUAGCUGGUCUGAGAGGGUGAUCAGCCAGACUGGAACUGAGACACGGUCCAGACUCCUACGGGAGGCAGCAGUGGGGAAUAUUGGACAAUGGGCGCAAGCCUGAUCCAGCCAUACCGCGUGGGUGAAGAAGGACUUCGGGUUGUAAAGCCCUUUUGUUGGGAAAGAAAAGCAGCAGGUUAAUACCCCGCUGUUCUGACGGUACCCAAAGAAUAAGCACCGGCUAACUUCGUG
rnacentral:rRNA from 1 species